rnacentral:misc_RNA from 1 species
UACGUAGGAUCCGAGCGUUGUCCGGAUUUACUGGGCGUAAAGGGUGCGUAGGCGGCCUGUUAAGUCUUAUGUGAAAUCUCCCGGCUCAACCGGGAGGGGUCAUGGGAUACUGGCAGGCUUGAGGGCAGUAGAGGAGAGCGGAAUUCCCGGAGUAGUGGUGAAAUGCGUAGAUACCGGGAGGAACACCAGUGGCGAAAGCGGCUCUCUGGGCUGUCCCUGACGCUGAGGCACGAAAGCGUGGGGAGCAAACCGG